rnacentral:lncRNA from 1 species
CUCACAUCGAUGGGCACAAGCGUCGCCAGGAAAUUCAGUGUGGUAAGCUUGGCACCUACUCAUGGCCACCGUGUCCUGAACUCCCUUUCCUGUGCUCAGGCCCCAGCCCACGCAGCAGGAGGACACACUGCCGAAGGGACCAGUUGGACGGCCUUCUGGCUUUAGCGCCUGUGCCUUUCAGGACCUUAAAUACAGAAAGGAACCGAGUGCUCUGUGCAGCCCCUCCAAGACGGUCGCUACAGCGCCAGCACCACCUGCGCCGGGCCAUCAUGCCGUGACCGGACUUGGUUUACGAAUACAGUGUACGAGGUUAAGAUAUGAUAAAGUGUAAAAAUAUAUGUUAUAGCCACG